CCUACGGGAGGCAGCAGUGAGGAAUAUUGGUCAAUGGACGCAACUCUGAACCAGCCAAGUAGCGUGCAGGAUGACGGCCCUAUGGGUUGUAAACUGCUUUUAUGCGGGAAUAAACUGAGUCACGUGUGGCUUUUUGUAUGUACUUCAUGAAUAAGGACCGGCUAAUUCCGUGCCAGCAGCCGCGGUAAUACGGAGGGUCCGGGCGUUAUCCGGAUUUAUUGGGUUUAAAGGGAGCGUAGAUGGGUCGUUAAGCGAGUUGUGAAAGGUUGCGGCUCAACCGUAGAACUGCAGGGGGAACUGGCGGCCUUGAGUGCGCUUGAGGUAGGCGGAAUUCGUGGUGUAGCGGUGAAAUGCUUAGAUAUCACGAAGAACUCCGAUUGCGAAGGCAGCCUACCAUAGUGCCACUGACGUUGAGGCUCGAAGGUGCGGGUAUCGAACAGGAUUAGAUACCCUAGUAGUC
rnacentral:rRNA from 1 species